GCAAGUGUCGACCAUUUAACCGGCUAGGUUGAUUGAUUUCCUCUCGUGCCGCUUCCACUUUCACCGAGAAGCCGGUAAGAGGAGGCUUUUUCGCCCCACCCACACAAGCCGUGACGGAACUAGGUAACCGCAUUCUGACUUGAAGUAUCCGUUUCAUGGUUCAUUUUUACGCGCUAAUAUGACUACCUAUCGGAGCUUGUCAUCUGAUAAGAGCCAUCUCGUGACUCCAGAGCGCAUUUUUUUUUAAGGUUUUCGCUGGGGGCAUUCUUUGUGCCGGCGGAAAUGUUGCUUUCCUUCCGUCAAGAUCAUAUACAAUACAAGUGGACUUAUUACCAACUUCAUAGCAAUGCCAGUUGUGGAAGGGUAGCAGAUUUAUCAGUCCCUCCAGGAGUCAGGUGCCUGUUAUGAAUGAAAAUGGUAGGACAAGGUCAAGGGUCCGCUGAGCUGUACUUUUGAAUAUUUACCUUAUGGGA
rnacentral:sRNA from 1 species